rnacentral:lncRNA from 1 species
UUUUAAAAUCAUUUAUUUAAAUUGUACUUUUUUAUGAUUUCAUUAAUUAUCAGCUUUGCAUUAAACUCAUGAACCUCCUGCAGUUCCUUCAUGAACCCCAGUUUGGGAAACCUUGACAUAAUGUUAAUAACAACAAAUGGAAUAUAUUUUUAUUUAUAUCAAUAUGGUACAAGUUUAUCCUGUUUAAAUCGAUGUGAUAAAUGAGUUAGGUCAAAAGUAGUCUGAUUAUAUAACCUAAAAUGUGUGAUGUAAUGGAUUACGUUACUAAUUACAGUUUUUGUCAUAUCAUUUGGAAUCAGUAAAGGAUUACAAUUUGUAAGUUAUCUGCCCAGCUCCGUUUACACGUUUUUUUCCUGAAAGGUUUUAGUUGGAUGGUUAUCCAUUUUUUUUUUUAUGUUACUAUUUAUUUCAAAAUGUUCCGAGAGCAUUCAAAAGUAACAUUCUCAUAAUAAUGUUUUCAAAAUUAUCAAAUGGAAUGUUCCCUUAAUGUUUUAAACGGUUUAAAAACUGGGCAUUUUGAACAUUCAGAGAACAUUCAGCAAUGAUAUUUGUAUAAUUGAAUGGGAGCGUCUGGGUUAUCUGGUUUGUGUUUGUUGUGUAGGACGUGCUAUGCAGCUGCGGCCCACUCUCAUCGAAGACUUCAAGACCCUGGUGGCUGAGCAGGGAAUGAGUGAAGACACUAAUCAAAAAGUACAAAGGUACCCUCACGACGCAAACCAAUGCAAAACACACUUUUAUUCAGAUCAGAUGUCAUUGUUUUUGGCUCUGUGUCGUCAGGUGAAUGUAUUCCAGGUGAGCAGGUCACACCAGAGCCACAGAUCCAGGGGCCGGCAGGACCACAUUCCUCCUCGCCCUCUAUUGAGAUCCAAUCACAUGACAGGAUUAUUAAUCACGCUUCUAUCAAUCGAUUAUUUAUUCACCCUCGGGUGUUGUUUAUGUGUUUGUAUGGAUUCAGCAGACUUUAAAUGAUUUAAACGUUAAAUACACAGGUUUGGAACGACAUUAGGAUGAAUAACUGAUGACAAAGUUGUCAUUUUUGGUUGAACAAUCCCACUUGGUAACUAUUAGCUUUUAGCUCAAAUGUAAGUGUUUUAGUUUAUGGUGUGUGUGCUGAGGUCUUCACCUGGAUCUGUGGCUCUGGUGUGACCUGCUCACCUGGAAUACAUUCACCUGACGACACAGAGCCAAAAACAAUGACAUCUGAUCUGAAUAAAAGUGUGUUUUGCAUUGGUUUGCGUCGUGAGGGUACCUUUGUACUUUUUGAUUAGUGUCUUCACUCAUUCCCUGCUCAGCCACCAGGGUCUUGAAGUCUUCGAUGAGAGUGGGCCGCAGCUGCAUAGCACGUCCUACACAACAAACACAAACCAGAUAACCCAGAUGCUCCCAUUCAAUUAUACAAAUAUCAUUGCUGAAUGUUCUCUGAAUGUUCAAAAUGCCCAGUUUUUAAACCGUUUAAAACAUUAAGGGAACAUUCCAUUUGAUAAUUUUGAAAACAU